UUAAGCGACUAAGCGUACACGGUGGAUGCCCUGGCAGUCAGAGGCGAUGAAGGACGUGCUAAUCUGCGAUAAGCGUCGGUGAGGUGAUAUGAACCGUUAUAACCGGCGAUUUCCGAAUGGGGAAACCCAGUGUGUUUCGACACACUAUCAUUAACUGAAUCCAUAGGUUAAUGAGGCGAACCGGGGGAACUGAAACAUCUAAGUACCCCGAGGAAAAGAAAUCAACCGAGAUUCCCCCAGUAGCGGCGAGCGAACGGGGAGGAGCCCAGAGCCUGAAUCAGUGUGUGUGUUAGUGGAAGCGUCUGGAAAGGCGUGCGAUACAGGGUGACAGCCCCGUACACAAAAAUGCACAUAUUGUGAGCUCGAUGAGUAGGGCGGGACACGUGGUAUCCUGUCUGAAUAUGGGGGGACCAUCCUCCAAGGCUAAAUACUCCUGACUGACCGAUAGUGAACCAGUACCGUGAGGGAAAGGCGAAAAGAACCCCGGCGAGGGGAGUGAAAAAGAACCUGAAACCGUGUACGUACAAGCAGUGGGAGCCUCUUAAUGGGGUGACUGCGUACCUUUUGUAUAAUGGGUCAGCGACUUAUAUUCUGUAGCAAGGUUAACCGAAUAGGGGAGCCGAAGGGAAACCGAGUCUUAACUGGGCGUUAAGUUGCAGGGUAUAGACCCGAAACCCGGUGAUCUAGCCAUGGGCAGGUUGAAGGUUGGGUAACACUAACUGGAGGACCGAACCGACUAAUGUUGAAAAAUUAGCGGAUGACUUGUGGCUGGGGGUGAAAGGCCAAUCAAACCGGGAGAUAGCUGGUUCUCCCCGAAAGCUAUUUAGGUAGCGCCUCGUGAAUUCAUCUCCGGGGGUAGAGCACUGUUUCGGCAAGGGGGUCAUCCCGACUUACCAACCCGAUGCAAACUGCGAAUACCGGAGAAUGUUAUCACGGGAGACACACGGCGGGUGCUAACGUCCGUCGUGAAGAGGGAAACAACCCAGACCGCCAGCUAAGGUCCCAAAGUCAUGGUUAAGUGGGAAACGAUGUGGGAAGGCCCAGACAGCCAGGAUGUUGGCUUAGAAGCAGCCAUCAUUUAAAGAAAGCGUAAUAGCUCACUGGUCGAGUCGGCCUGCGCGGAAGAUGUAACGGGGCUAAACCAUGCACCGAAGCUGCGGCAGCGACACUAUGUGUUGUUGGGUAGGGGAGCGUUCUGUAAGCCUGUGAAGGUGGCCUGUGAGGGUUGCUGGAGGUAUCAGAAGUGCGAAUGCUGACAUAAGUAACGAUAAUGCGGGUGAAAAACCCGCACGCCGGAAGACCAAGGGUUCCUGUCCAACGUUAAUCGGGGCAGGGUGAGUCGACCCCUAAGGCGAGGCCGAAAGGCGUAGUCGAUGGGAAACAGGUUAAUAUUCCUGUACUUGGUGUUACUGCGAAGGGGGGACGGAGAAGGCUAUGUUGGCCGGGCGACGGUUGUCCCGGUUUAAGCGUGUAGGCUGGUUUUCCAGGCAAAUCCGGAAAACCAAGGCUGAGGCGUGAUGACGAGGCACUACGGUGCUGAAGCGACAAAUGCCCUGCUUCCAGGAAAAGCCUCUAAGCAUCAGGUAACAUCAAAUCGUACCCCAAACCGACACAGGUGGUCAGGUAGAGAAUACCAAGGCGCUUGAGAGAACUCGGGUGAAGGAACUAGGCAAAAUGGUGCCGUAACUUCGGGAGAAGGCACGCUGAUAUGUAGGUGAAGCGACUUGCUCGUGGAGCUGAAAUCAGUCGAAGAUACCAGCUGGCUGCAACUGUUUAUUAAAAACACAGCACUGUGCAAACACGAAAGUGGACGUAUACGGUGUGACGCCUGCCCGGUGCCGGAAGGUUAAUUGAUGGGGUUAGCGGCAACGCGAAGCUCUUGAUCGAAGCCCCGGUAAACGGCGGCCGUAACUAUAACGGUCCUAAGGUAGCGAAAUUCCUUGUCGGGU
rnacentral:rRNA from 1 species